GAUGAAGAACGUAGCGAAAUGCGAUAAGUAAUGUGAAUUGCAGAAUUCAGUGAAUCAUCGAAUCUUUGAACGCACAUUGCGCCCGCCAGUAUUCUGGCGGGCAUGCCUGUCUGAGCGUCAUUUCAACCCUCAUGCCCCUAGGGCGUGGUGUUGGGGAUCGGCCAAAGCCCGCGAGGGACGGCCGGCCCCUAAAUCUAGUGGCGGACCCGUCGUGGCCUCCACUGCGAAGUAGUGAUAUUCCGCAUCGGAGAGCGAUGAGCCCCUGCCGUUAAACCCCCAACUUUCCAAGGUUGACCUCAGAUCAGGUAGGAAUACCCGCUGAACUUAAGCAUAUCAAUAAGCGGAGGA
rnacentral:misc_RNA from 1 species